rnacentral:snoRNA from 1 species
UCCGACCUUAGUGACCUUACAGAUGUGACUGUUGUGUCACAAGUAUGUCAUUAGGGGGUUGUAUAGGGGAUUGAACCUGGGACUUGGGAGCCUCAGGCAUG